GUUUCGCCCUGUUUACCAAAAACAUCGCUCCUUGGAAAGGUUUCUAAUAUAUAAGGAGUUCUGCCUGCCCAGUGACAAAGUUAAACGGCCGCGGUAUUUUGACCGUGCAAAGGUAGCAUAAUCAUUUGCCUUUUAAAUGGAGGCUGGUAUGAAUGGCAAGACGGAGAUUUAGCUGUCUCUCUCUUAGAAUUUUGAAGUUAAUUUUUUUGUGAAGAAGCAAAAAUUUAAUCGUAGGACGAGAAGACCCUAUCGAGCUUAAAUAAAAAAGUAUAUGUUUGUAAUAUGUUUUUUGUGUUAAUUUCCCUUUAAAAAGGGUAUAGUUUUAUUUAAAAGGCAUAAGAUUAUUAUAUUUUUUAUUUAGAUUGGGGCAAUCGCGGAAGAAAUAAAGCUUUCGUUGUGAGUAAGUUAAAAAGUGACAUCUUUAAAGAAUAGUAGAUUGUAAAGUUAAAAUGACCCACUUUUUGAAGUGAGUAAAGGAAUAAGUUACCGUAGGGAUAACAGCGUAAUUUUUUUGGAGAGUUCAUAUUGAUAAAAGAGUUUGCGACCUCGAUGUUGGAUCGGGACUUCCGGGGGAUGCAGCAGUUCCCAAAGGUUGGUCUGUUCGACCAUUAAAGUCCUACGUGAUCUGAGUUCAGACCGGUGAAAGCCAGGUCAGUUUCUAUCUACG
rnacentral:rRNA from 2 species